CCACAGUGACUCAAUCUGACUAAAGUACAUCUCCUAUUACGCUACGCAUAGGAUCUGACAACGAGCUAUUGAUGGCCUCGUUCUGACAACCCUUCCGCUAGCCAAUCAAAAGCUACCUUACAACAUUCUGUAAGCCUUGGUUUUUGAUAUCAACAAUUUUUAUGUCAAAAGAUGAGAGAUAGCCGGUUAGCUCAGUCGGUAGGGCACUUGUAAACGAGAGGUCCCGGGUUCGAGCCCUGGAUAAACUGCAAAUAUUUCGGAUAGUGGUUAUAUCUUUGACACACAGUCCACAGUUUCCGAGUAAAUGCCACUACCUUGAAUAUUAUCUUGUUUUAGGUUUUCAAUCAUUUACUUCUGGACAAAGGGGGCCAAUUUGCUUUAAAUGUGAGCAGCAAAGUAGUCCAAACGACUGCAAUAAAAUCAGAAUCUGCGGUCGGGAUGAGGUAUGUAUGCUGAAUACGACAUCAGUUGGGACGAGUCACCAGAUGCUAUGGAAAUCGGAUUGCCAGAAAAAAUCGACAUGUCAACACACUGGUGUAAUCAGUUCUAACUCAGGGAAUGGUGGCUGUUCGAAUAAUUGCUGUUCCCAGGACCUAUGUAAUAAUGUGUGUUAAGGAUGAAGGUUUUGUGGUACACAAGUUUGCAUGGUGUAUGGCUUAGAAUGAUUUUAGAAUGUGGUUUUCCCUGUUGGAUAUUCUUCCUUGUUUUUAGAACAGUUUCGUUUACAUGUACC